rnacentral:rRNA from 1 species
AUCAGGUAGGGCUACCCGCUGAACUUAAGCAUAUCAAUAAGCGGAGGAAAAGAAACUAACAAGGAUUCCCCUAGUAACGGCGAGUGAAGCGGGAAGAGCUCAAAUUUAAAAUCUGGCAGUCUACGAUUGUCCGAAUUGUAAUCUCGAGAAGUGUUUUCCGCGCCGGACCGCAUACAAGUCUGUUGGAAUACAGCGUCAUAGUGGUGAGAACCCCGUAACUGAUGCGGAUGCCCGGUGCUUUGUGAUACACUUUCGAAGAGUCGAGUUGUUUGGGAAUGCAGCUCAAAUUGGGUGGUAAAUUCCAUCUAAAGCUAAAUAUUGGCGAGAGACCGAUAGCGAACAAGUACCGUGAGGGAAAGAUGAAAAGCACUUUGGAAAGAGAGUUAACAGUACGUGAAAUUGUUGGAAGGGAAACGCUUGAAGUCAGACUUGCUGUUCGG